rnacentral:rRNA from 1 species
GACGAACGCUGGCGGCGUGCUUAACACAUGCAAGUCGAACGGAAAGGCCCUGCUUUUGUGGGGUGCUCGAGUGGCGAGCGGGUGAGUAACACGUGAGUAACCUGCCCUUGACUUUGGGAUAACUUCAGGAAACUGGGGCUAAUACCGGAUAGGAGCUCCUGCUGCAUGGUGGGGGUUGGAAAGUUUCGGCGGUUGGGGAUGGACUCGCGGCUUAUCAGCUUGUUGGUGGGGUAGUGGCUUACCAAGGCUUUGACGGGUAGCCGGCCUGAGAGGGUGACCGGCCACAUUGGGACUGAGAUACGGCCCAGACUCCUACGGGAGGCAGCAGUGGGGAAUAUUGCACAAUGGGCGGAAGCCUGAUGCAGCAACGCCGCGUGCGGGAUGACGGCCUUCGGGUUGUAAACCGCUUUCGCCUGUGACGAAGCGUGAGUGACGGUAAUGGGUAAAGAAGCACCGGCUAACUACGUGCCAGCAGCCGCGGUGAUACGUAGGGUGCGAGCGUUGUCCGGAUUUAUUGGGCGUAAAGGGCUCGUAGGUGGUUGAUCGCGUCGGAAGUGUAAUCUUGGGGCUUAACCCUGAGCGUGCUUUCGAUACGGGUUGACUUGAGGAAGUUAGGGGAGAAUGGAAUUCCUGGUGGAGCGGUGGAAUGCGCAGAUAUCAGGAGGAACACCAGUGGCGAAGGCGGUUCUCUGGGCCUUUCCUGACGCUGAGGAGCGAAAGCGUGGGGAGCGAACAGGCUUAGAUACCCUGGUAGUCCACGCUGUAAACGGUGGGUACUAGGUGUGGGGUCCAUUCCACGGGUUCCGUGCCGUAGCUAACGCUUUAAGUACCCCGCCUGGGGAGUACGGCCGCAAGGCUAAAACUCAAAGGAAUUGACGGGGCCCCGCACAAGCGGCGGAGCAUGCGGAUUAAUUCGAUGCAACGCGUAGAACCUUACCUGGGUUUGACAUGGAUCGGGAGUGCUCAGAGAUGGGUGUGCCUCUUUUGGGGUCGGUUCACAGGUGGUGCAUGGCUGUCGUCAGCUCGUGUCGUGAGAUGCUGGGUUAAGUCCCGCAACGAGCGCAACCCUUGUUCACUGUUGCCAGCACGUUAUGGUGGGGACUCAGUGGAGACCGCCGGGGUCAACUCGGAGGAAGGUGGGGAUGACGUCAAGUCAUCAUGCCCCUUAUGUCCAGGGCUUCACGCAUGCUACAAUGGCUGGUACAGAGAGUGGCGAGCCUGUGAGGGUGAGCGAAUCUCGGAAAGCCGGUCUCAGUUCGGAUUGGGGUCUGCAACUCGACCUCAUGAAGUCGGAGUCGCUAGUAAUCGCAGAUCAGCAACGCUGCGGUGAAUACGUUCCCGGGGCU